AGGGCAGCAGAAGUGCUGAGACUCCAUAAGAUCCAAGAACCCAGUGAGAAGAACAUCGUCCUCAUCUCCUCCUGGUCAGAAAGAACGCCAUGAAGACUCUCUGCUUCUCUCUCGGGCUGCUGCUGUUUGUUGUCUGCUGCAGUGAUGCCAUGCCCUUUGGAGUUUCUGCUAGCACAGGUCCUGGACAAUGCUGCUUUGACUUCAAAAACAUACCACCACAAAAGAUUGUAAAAGACAUCAUCCAAACCCAUCGUCUUUGUUCAAAAAAUGCGUUUAUAGUCAUACCUGUCAAAGGAAAACCGAUCUGCAUGAAAGACGACGUUGAGUGGGUUAAGGAACUCUUCAACCUGAAAACCUCUGCAGGAAGCAAAUAAAGUGCCUCAGAAUAUUCUGCUCUCUAAUAUAAACCAACGUAUUAUUCUUUUUUGGUGCAAAGGAUAACUUGCUUUUUUUAAGCUUAACUUUGGCAAAUAUCUAUUUCUUUACUGUACUUUAGAUGUUCUGUACUUCUUUCAUGCCUUCUACUUUUCUAAGGUGCCUGAGAGAAAUGCAAUAAAGUUUUCAUAGCAAUGAUA